rnacentral:rRNA from 1 species
CCUACGGGAGGCAGCAGUAGGGGAUAUUGCUCAAUGGGGGAAACCCUGAUGCAGCAACGCCGCGUGGGGGAUGGAGGGUUUCGGCGUGUAAAGUCCUUUUGGUAGGGAAGAAGAUGACGGUACCUGACCAAUAAGCCCCGGCUAACUACGUGCCAGCAGCCGCGGUAAUACGGAGGGGGCAAGCGUUAACCGGAUUCACUGGGUGUAAAGGGGGCGCAGACGGGAAUGCAAGUCAGGAGUGAAAGCCCGGGGCCCAACCCAGGGACUGCAUUUGAAACUGCAUGGCUGGAGUACGGGAGGGGCAGGCGGAAUUCUUAGUGUAGCGGUGAAAUGCGUAGAGAUUAGGAGGAACACCGGUGGCGAAGGCGGCCUGCUGGACUGUGACUGACGUUGAGGCCCGAAGGCGUGGGGAGCAAACAGGAUUAGAUACCCUGGUAGUC